GACGAACGCUGGCGGCGUGCUUAACACAUGCAAGUCGAACGGAAAGGCCCUGCUUGUGUGGGGUGCUCGAGUGGCGCACGGGUGUGUAACACGGGUGUAAUCUGCCCUUGACUUUGGGAUAACUUCAGGAAACUGGGGAUUAUACCGGAUAGGAGCUCCUGCGGCAGGGUGGGGGUUGGAAAGUUUCGGGGGUUGGGGUGGGACUGGCGGCUUAUCAGCUUGUUGGUGGGGUAGUGGCUUACCAAGGCUCUGACGGGUGGCCGGCCUGGGAGGGUGACCGGCCACAUUGGGACGGGAUACCGGCCAGAACCCCUACGGGAGGCAGCGGUGGGAAAUAUUGCCCAAUGGGCGGAAGCCGGAUGCGGCAAGGCCGCGUGCGGGAUGCCGGCCUUCGGUUUGUAACCCGCUUCCGCCUGGAACGAGGCGUGAGUGACGGUAAUUGGAAAAGAAGCACCGGCUAACUACGUG
rnacentral:rRNA from 1 species